rnacentral:rRNA from 1 species
UAUGGAGAGUUUGAUCCUGGCUCAGGAUGAACGCUGGCGGCGUGCCUAAAUACAUGCAAGUCGAGCGAACAGACAAGGAGCUUGCUCCUUUGACGUUAGCGGCGGACGGGUGAGUAACACGUGGGUAACCUACCUAUAAGACUGGGAUAACUUCGGGAAACCGGAGCUAAUACCGGAUAAUAUUUCGAACCGCAUGGUUCGAUAGUGAAAGAUGGUUUUGCUAUCACUUAUAGAUGGACCCGCGCCGUAUUAGCUAGUUGGUAAGGUAACGGCUUACCAAGGCGACGAUACGUAGCCGACCUGAGAGGGUGAUUGGCCACACUGGAACUGAGACACGGUCCAGACUCCUACGGGAGGCAGCAGUAGGGAAUCUUCCGCAAUGGGCGAAAGCCUGACGGAGCAACGCCGCGUGAGUGAUGAAGGUCUUCGGAUCGUAAAACUCUGUUAUUAGGGAAGAACAUACGUGUAAGUAACUAUGCACGUCUUGACGGUACCUAAUCAGAAAGCCACGGCUAACUACGUGCCAGCAGCCGCGGUAAUACGUAGGUGGCAAGCGUUAUCCGGAAUUAUUGGGCGUAAAGCGCGCGUAGGCGGUUUUUUAAGUCUGAUGUGAAAGCCCACGGCUCAACCGUGGAGGGUCAUUGGAAACUGGAAAACUUGAGUGCAGAAGAGGAAAGUGGAAUUCCAUGUGUAGCGGUGAAAUGCGCAGAGAUAUGGAGGAACACCAGUGGCGAAGGCGACUUUCUGGUCUGUAACUGACGCUGAUGUGCGAAAGCGUGGGGAUCAAACAGGAUUAGAUACCCUGGUAGUCCACGCCGUAAACGAUGAGUGCUAAGUGUUAGGGGGUUUCCGCCCCUUAGUGCUGCAGCUAACGCAUUAAGCACUCCGCCUGGGGAGUACGACCGCAAGGUUGAAACUCAAAGGAAUUGACGGGGACCCGCACAAGCGGUGGAGCAUGUGGUUUAAUUCGAAGCAACGCGAAGAACCUUACCAAAUCUUGACAUCCUUUGACAACUCUAGAGAUAGAGCUUUCCCCUUCGGGGGACAAAGUGACAGGUGGUGCAUGGUUGUCGUCAGCUCGUGUCGUGAGAUGUUGGGUUAAGUCCCGCAACGAGCGCAACCCUUAAGCUUAGUUGCCAUCAUUAAGUUGGGCACUCUAAGUUGACUGCCGGUGACAAACCGGAGGAAGGUGGGGAUGACGUCAAAUCAUCAUGCCCCUUAUGAUUUGGGCUACACACGUGCUACAAUGGACAAUACAAAGGGCAGCGAAACCGCGAGGUCAAGCAAAUCCCAUAAAGUUGUUCUCAGUUCGGAUUGUAGUCUGCAACUCGACUACAUGAAGCUGGAAUCGCUAGUAAUCGUAGAUCAGCAUGCUACGGUGAAUACGUUCCCGGGUCUUGUACACACCGCCCGUCACACCACGAGAGUUUGUAACACCCGAAGCCGGUGGAGUAACCAUUUGGAGCUAGCCGUCGAAGGUGGGACAAAUGAUUGGGGUGAAGUCGUAACAAGGUAGCCGUAUCGGAAGGUGCGGCUGGAUCACCUCCUUU